UGCGUUGUACGGGCUGGGGAUUGAGACCUGGGAGCUAGAGUCCGGCCCCAAGCACCCUCGGGGAGGUCUGAGGCUUGGGUUCCCGGAGAUGCCCGCCUGCCGCUUCCUCGCCCAGGAGGCCUCGGGCAGUGCUACCGGUUGCCCCCUCUGCAGGUCACAAAACCCGUUGGAAACUUGUUCUGUUCUGUUCCAACCUGGAAGCCCUGGGUCUGUAAGACUGAUUUCUUUCCAUCUGACCAGCCUGGAGGGUCAGGCCUAGAGCCUCCAGCCCACUCUGUGGAUGAUGAGGGUGAUCAUCGUCUCAAAGGCCUGGCUGCAAACAAACCUGCCAGGACUCCACUGGAGGUUCUACAGAGUUGGUCAGGAGCGCGGGCUCGGGCCCGAGGGCUGGGGUCCCGCUGUGCAACCUUGGGGAGUCUGCCUCAACCCCUGUGCCUCGGUGUCUUCAUCUGAAAUGUGGGAGCCCGACAAGACGGGCUUGCUGUGGAGAUUAAAUGAGUUUUUAUUAUACAUGA